rnacentral:rRNA from 1 species
UGGGGAAUAUUGGAUAAUGGGCGCAAGCCUGAUCCAGCCAUGCCGCGUGGGUGAAGAAGGCCUUCGGGUUGUAAAGCCCUUUUGUUGGGGAAGAAAUCGUGCAGGUGAAUAUCCUGCGCGGAUGACGGUACCCAAAGAAUAAGCACCGGCUAACUUCGUGCCAGCAGCCGCGGUAAUACGAAGGGUGCAAGCGUUACUCGGAAUUACUGGGCGUAAAGCGUGCGUAGGCGGUUCGUUAAGUCCGUUGUGAAAGCCCUGGGCUCAACCUGGGAAUUGCAGAGGAUACCGGCGAGCUAGAGUACGGUAGAGGAUGGUGGAAUUCCCGGUGUCGCGGUUAAAUGCGUAGAGAUCGGGAGGAACACCCGUGGCGAAGGCGGCCAUCUGGACCAGUACUGACGCUGAGGCACGAAAGCGUGGGGAGCAAACA